CAGAUACCCUUAGUUUAUGAUGUUCAAUAAGUGUCUAAUAUAUGAUAUGAUUAUAACACUGGCAAUAGCUUUCGCAGAAGCAGUGGGUCCAUCGCAGCGGUUUUAUCAUGGCCGUUUGCUGUUGUCGGCGGCAGACAAAGAACACCUGCCCUUUCCUUCCUUACAGAGGCUGUUAUGACCGUUUUAGGGAAGUGUCCGUGUGGCUGGGGUAUGUUUGGCAGAGCAUACAGAUUCCACCAUGAUGGCCAUAGUUGACAACAGUUCUGAAACUACUGUCCAGCUGCCAGAGCAAGAGGUGCAGUCUGAGGAAGUUGUUGUAGGAACCAGGUAAUGACAUUAAUGUCUUAAUUACUAAUAUUGUAUCAGAAAUAGUC